AAUUAUUAUUUUACUUUACUUCUUGUUGUUUAUUGAGGAGUGUGGUAAUGUUAAUUUGUUUUUCUUGCCCCUUAUUAAUGCCAGUAAGUGGAUUAGAAAACAAUUGAAGGUAUUGGAGAUAGUAGUCAUCUUGCACUUCAUAAUGUAGCAGUACCUGAAAGAAGCAUGGUAGUGCCAGACAACACAGUAUCUUUCUUUGGAAUGAUUUAUAACAACUAACUGGUAACACCUUCAGCAGAUUGCAGUUACACAGUCAGAAAGGUUGUCGAACUAA